GACAAUGUAGUCGAGUGUUUAAGAAGAUGGACUGCUAAUUCACUGUGCUCUGCACGCGUGGGUUCAAAUCCCAUCCUCGUCG